GGCGCCGUGUCUCUUAGCAGGUGCUGGGCCGCCGUGGUGAAGAUUGGCGGCCGCGUUGGCCUGUAGCUGCUUCCCGCCCGAGCGGCCGCUCGCCGGUCGCAGAGGAGGCGCGGUCGUAGUGGCUGGUAUCCCGGGAGCUACGGGGGCAAGUGGAAUUCGCUCGGCCCGCGGCGGCCGGGGGCUCGCGGGCUUCGGCGCCACGGGGCUGCGCUGGUUCUGUAGGUCCCCAGUCUUUUCGCCCCUGCUGGUGCUGUAGAUCACUCAUGUUUACGGCAAGUAUUUACUGAGUCCCUGCUGUGUGCCUAUUCCAGUGUCAGGGGCGAGGUGGUCACGGGCAGGCAGGGUCCCUGCCUCGAGGAACUUCUCACCUGCGGAGGAGAGAGAGAGAAAUUUUCUGGAACAGUUUGAGCAGUUGGCCAACUCUUGGCUCAAAGAGGAAAUAAUAAAAAUGGCAGUGAUGGGAAUUCCCUGGUGGUCCAAUGGUUGGGGAACUGAGAUUCCACACACCGCACAGCCAAAAAUAGAAUAUGAAAACUGCAAUGACUAUUUUGAAAUCAUCAAUAAAGACAUUACUUUAUACAGAAAUUAUGAAAUACAACCAAAGCUGCACGUAGAGGAAAUUGUUGUUCGGUCAUUAAAUCGUGUCCAACUCUUUGUGACUCCAUGGACUGUAGCACGCCAGGCUUCCCUGUCCAGGCACCCCUGUCCUUCACUGUCUCCUAGAGCUUGCUCAAAUUCAUGUCGGUGAUGCCAUCAAACUGUCUCAUCCUCUGCUGGCCCCAUUCUCUUAGAAAAAUAUUUACGGCCUCAAAUGCUUUUAUCAUCAAAUAACAAAGGCAAUAAAAUACAUUGAUGUUCAUUGAAAGUUUA